rnacentral:tRNA from 1 species
GUCCGGGUGGCAGAAGUGAAAUGUAGUUGGUUUAGGUCCAAUGGAUAGGUGAAUUUACCUUCCGGGUU